AUUGAACGCUGGCGGCAUGCCUUACACAUGCAAGUCGAACGGCAGCGGACCUUCGGGUGCCGGCGAGUGGCGAACGGGUGAGUAAUAUAUCGGAACGUACCUUUCAGUGAGGGAUAACGUAGCGAAAGUUACGCUAAUACCGCAUAUUCUGUGAGCAGGAAAGCAGGGGAUCGCAAGACCUUGCGCUGAUUGAGCGGCCGAUAUCAGAUUAGCUAGUUGGUGAGGUAAAGGCUCACCAAGGCGACGAUCUGUAGCGGGUCUGAGAGGAUGAUCCGCCACACUGGAACUGAGACACGGUCCAGACUCCUACGGGAGGCAGCAGUGGGGAAUUUUGGACAAUGGGCGCAAGCCUGAUCCAGCCAUGCCGCGUGAGUGAAG
rnacentral:rRNA from 1 species